rnacentral:rRNA from 2 species
GGAAGUAAAAGUCGUAACAAGGUCUCCGUUGGUGAACCAGCGGAGGGAUCAUUACCGAGUUUACAACUCCCAAACCCCUGUGAACAUACCACUUGUUGCCUCGGCGGAUCAGCCCGCUCCCGGUAAAACGGGACGGCCCGCCAGAGGACCCCUAAACUCUGUUUCUAUAUGUAACUUCUGAGUAAAACCAUAAAUAAAUCAAAACUUUCAACAACGGAUCUCUUGGUUCUGGCAUCGAUGAAGAACGCAGCAAAAUGCGAUAAGUAAUGUGAAUUGCAGAAUUCAGUGAAUCAUCGAAUCUUUGAACGCACAUUGCGCCCGCCAGUAUUCUGGCGGGCAUGCCUGUUCGAGCGUCAUUUCAACCCUCAAGCCCUCGGGUUUGGUGUUGGGGAUCGGCGAGCCCUUGCGGCAAGCCGGCCCCGAAAUCUAGUGGCGGUCUCGCUGCAGCCUCCAUUGCGUAGUAGUAAAACCCUCGCAACUGGAACGCGGCGCGGCCAAGCCGUUAAACCCCCAACUUCUGAAUGUUGACCUCGGAUCAGGUAGGAAUACCCGCUGAACUUAAGCAUAUCAAUAAGCGGAGGA